GAACGCUGGCGGCAUGCCUUACACAUGCAAGUCGAACGGCAGCGCGGGAGCAAUCCUGGCGGCGAGUGGCGAACGGGUAAGUAAUACAUCGGAACGUGCCCAAUCGUGGGGGAUAACGCAGCGAAAGCUGUGCUAAUACCGCAUAAGAUCUACGGAUGAAAGCAGGGGAUCGCAAGACCUUGCGCGAAUGGAGCGGCCGAUGGCAGAUUAGGUAGUUGGUGAGGUAAAGGCUCACCAAGCCUUCGAUCUGUAGCUGGUCUGAGAGGACGACCAGCCACACUGGGACUGAGACACGGCCCAGACUCCUACGGGAGGCAGCAGUGGGGAAUUUUGGACAAUGGGCGCAAGCCUGAUCCAGCCAUGCCGCGUGCAGGAUGAAGGC
rnacentral:rRNA from 1 species